CAUGCCUUACACAUGCAAGUCGAACGGUAACAGGUUAAGCUGACGAGUGGCGAACGGGUGAGUAAUGUAUCGGAACGUGCCCAGUCGUGGGGGAUAACUGCUCGAAAGAGCAGCUAAUACCGCAUACGACCUGAGGGUGAAAGCGGGGGAUCGCAAGACCUCGCGCGAUUGGAGCGGCCGAUAUCAGAUUAGGUAGUUGGUGGGGUAAAGGCCUACCAAGCCUACGAUCAGUAGCUGGUCUGAGAGGACGACCAGCCACACUGGGACUGAGACACGGCCCAGACUCCUACGGGAGGCAGCAGUGGGGAAUUUUGGACAAUGGACGCAAGUCUGAUCCAGCCAUGCCGCGUGCGGGAAGAAGGCCUUCGGGUUGUAAACCGCUUUUGUCAGGGAAGAAAAGGGUGUUUCUAAUAAAGACGCCUCAUGACGGUACCUGAAGAAUAAGCACCGGCUAACUACGUGCCAGCAGCCGCGGUAAUACGUAGGGUGCAAGCGUUAAUCGGAAUUACUGGGCGUAAAGCGUGCGCAGGCGGUUAUGCAAGACAGAGGUGAAAUCCCCGGGCUCAACCUGGGAACUGCCUUUGUGACUGCAUAGCUAGAGUACGGUAG
rnacentral:rRNA from 1 species